rnacentral:rRNA from 1 species
UGGGGAAUUUUGGACAAUGGGCGCAAGCCUGAUCCAGCCAUGCCGCGUGCGGGAAGAAGGCCUUCGGGUUGUAAACCGCUUUUGUCAGGGAAGAAACGCUCUGGGCUAAUACCCUGGGGUAAUGACGGUACCUGAAGAAUAAGCACCGGCUAACUACGUGCCAGCAGCCGCGGUAAUACGUAGGGUGCAAGCGUUAAUCGGAAUUACUGGGCGUAAAGCGUGCGCAGGCGGUUAUGCAAGACAGAUGUGAAAUCCCCGGGCUCAACCUGGGAACUGCAUUUGUGACUGUAUAGCUAGAGUACGGUAGAGGGGGAUGGAAUUCCGCGUGUAGCAGUGAAAUGCGUAGAUAUGCGGAGGAACACCGAUGGCGAAGGCAAUCCCCUGGACCUGUACUGACGCUCAUGCACGAAAGCGUGGGGAGCAAACAGGAUUAGAUACCCUGGUAGUCCCUGAGCGGGCUGGCAAGGCGCAU